rnacentral:rRNA from 1 species
AACGAACGCUGGCGGCAUGCCUAACACAUGCAAGUCGAACGAGACCUUCGGGUCUAGUGGCGCACGGGUGCGUAACGCGUGGGAACCUGCCCUUAGGUUCGGAAUAACUCCCCGAAAGGGGUGCUAAUACCGGAUAAUGUCUUCGGAUCAAAGAUUUAUCGCCUUUGGAUGGGCCCGCGUUGGAUUAGCUAGUUGGUAGGGUAAAAGCCUACCAAGGCGACGAUCCAUAGCUGGUCUGAGAGGAUGAUCAGCCACACUGGGACUGAGACACAGCCCAGACUCCUACGGGAGGCAGCAGUGGGGAAUAUUGGACAAUGGGCGAAAGCCUGAUCCAGCAAUGCCGCGUGAGUGAUGAAGGCCUUAGGGUUGUAAAGCUCUUUUACCCGGGAUGAUAAUGACAGUACCGGGAGAAUAAGCUCCGGCUAACUCCGUG